UUAUAUUUUAAAUAUGUUUAUAGGACUAAUGGUUUUGGGUUUGAUGUAGUUUUUGCACUUGCAAAGCUUAUGAAUGUCAGUGAAGAUGAGAGUCAACUUUCUGCUAUAGCUAGGCAAGGUUCAGGUAGUGCUUGUCGGAGUUUGUUUGGUGGAUUCGUUAAGUGGAUUAUGGGAAAAGAGGAUGAUGGAAGUGAUAGUCUUGCAGUUCAACUAGUAGAUGAAAACACCGGAAAAUCUCUUCAUCAUUAUUGUUGUGGUGAGUAUUUUCUCCAAUCCUCAUGUUUUACAUUUUUCC